GAUGAACGCUGGCGGCGUGCUUAACACAUGCCAGUCGAACGGAAAGGCCUCUGCUUGCAGGGGUACUCGAGUGGCGAACGGGUGAGUAACACGUGGGUGAUCUGCCCUGCACUUCGGGAUAAGCCUGGGAAACUGGGUCUAAUACCGGAUAGGACAAUGGUUUGGAUGCCGUUGUGGAAAGUUUUUCGGUGUGGGAUGAGCUCGCGGCCUAUCAGCUUGUUGGUGGGGUAAUGGCCUACCAAGGCGUCGACGGGUAGCCGGCCUGAGAGGGUGUACGGCCACAUUGGGACUGAGAUACGGCCCAGACUCCUACGGGAGGCAGCAGUGGGGAAUAUUGCACAAUGGGCGCAAGCCUGAUGCAGCGACGCCGCGUGGGGGAUGACGGCCUUCGGGUUGUAAACUCCUUUCGCUAGGGACGAAGCGCAAGUGACGGUACCUGGAGAAGAAGCACCGGCUAACUACGUG
rnacentral:rRNA from 1 species